rnacentral:rRNA from 1 species
GACGAACGCUGGCGGCGUGCUUAACACAUGCAAGUCGAACGGAAAGGCCCUGCUUUUGUGGGGUGCUCGAGUGGCGAACGGGUGAGUAACACGUGAGUAACCUGCCCUUGACUUUGGGAUAACUUCAGGAAACUGGGGCUAAUACCGGAUAGGAGCUCCUGCUGCAUGGUGGGGGUUGGAAAGUUUCGGCGGUUGGGGAUGGACUCGCGGCUUAUCAGCUUGUUGGUGGGGUAGUGGCUUACCAAGGCUUUGACGGGUAGCCGGCCUGAGAGGGUGACCGGCCACAUUGGGACUGAGAUACGGCCCAGACUCCUACGGGAGGCAGCAGUGGGGAAUAUUGCACAAUGGGCGGAAGCCUGAUGCAGCAACGCCGCGUGCGGGAUGACGGCCUUCGGGUUGUAAACCGCUUUCGCCUGUGACGAAGCGUGAGUGACGGUAAUGGGUAAAGAAGCACCGGCUAACUACGUGCCAGCAGCCGCGGUGAUACGUAGGGUGCGAGCGUUGUCCGGAUUUAUUGGGCGUAAAGGGCUCGUAGGUGGUUGAUCGCGUCGGAAGUGUAAUCUUGGGGCUUAACCCUGAGCGUGCUUUCGAUACGGGUUGACUUGAGGAAGGUAGGGGAGAAUGGAAUUCCUGGUGGAGCGGUGGAAUGCGCAGAUAUCAGGAGGAACACCAGUGGCGAAGGCGGUUCUCUGGGCCUUUCCUGACGCUGAGGAGCGAAAGCGUGGGGAGCGAACAGGCUUAGAUACCCUGGUAGUCCACGCUGUAAACGGUGGGUACUAGGUGUGGGGUCCAUUCCACGGGUUCCGUGCCGUAGCUAACGCUUUAAGUACCCCGCCUGGGGAGUACGGCCGCAAGGCUAAAACUCAAAGGAAUUGACGGGGCCCCGCACAAGCGGCGGAGCAUGCGGAUUAAUUCGAUGCAACGCGUAGAACCUUACCUGGGUUUGACAUGGAUCGGGAGUGCUCAGAGAUGGGUGUGCCUCUUUUGGGGUCGGUUCACAGGUGGUGCAUGGCUGUCGUCAGCUCGUGUCGUGAGAUGUUGGGUUAAGUCCCGCAACGAGCGCAACCCUUGUUCACUGUUGCCAGCACGUUAUGGUGGGGACUCAGUGGAGACCGCCGGGGUCAACUCGGAGGAAGGUGGGGAUGACGUCAAGUCGUCAUGCCCCUUAUGUCCAGGGCUUCACGCAUGCUACAAUGGCUGGUACAGAGAGUGGCGAGCCUGUGAGGGUGAGCGAAUCUCGGAAAGCCGGUCUCAGUUCGGAUUGGGGUCUGCAACUCGACCUCAUGAAGUCGGAGUCGCUAGUAAUCGCAGAUCAGCAACACUGCGGUGAAUACGUUCCCGGGGCU